rnacentral:rRNA from 1 species
AUAGCGUAUAUUAAAGUUGUUGCAGUUAAAAAGCUCGUAGUUGGAUGUCGGAGUUCCUUUGUAAUAGCUGUGCGGUCGAAGGGUAGUGGGGGCAACUCUGCUGCUCGGCGUACUGUUGGCGGGACUCAUUUUAUACUUUCUUGAAGACUACCCGUGCUCUUCACUGAGUGGCGGGGUUUGGGAUUCGAGACAUUUACUUUGAAAAAAUUAGAGUGUUCAAAGCAGGCUUUCUGACGCUUGAAUACAUUAGCAUGGAAUAAUGGAAUAGGACUUUGGUCUUAUUUUGUUGGUUUCUAGGACCGAAGUAAUGAUUAAUAGGGGCAGUUGGGGGCAUUAGUAUUUAAUUGUCAGAGGUGAAAUUCUUGGAUUUAUGAAAGACUAACUUCUG